AUGAAAAUGAAUUAUUUUUCAAUAAUCAAAUUAUUUGUCUUAAUACUUGCUUUAUGUAACUACGUGGCACAAUGUUUAAAAAAAAUAGAAGAAGUUGUAGGGGGGAAUUUAAAAAUUUUAAGUGGAGAUUUAAAUGAAAAUAUAAAAUUAGUUUGUAGCAAAAAUCAAUACAUUCAUGUUUUAGAUGCUAGUUAUGGAAAACCAUACGUUGAGAAUUUCUUAAUAAAAAAAGAUCCAUUGGAUGCACCACACACAUUGCCAGUUGUUCAAAUGAUGUGUGAAGGGAAAGAGGAUUGUGAUAUGAGUGUAAACAAUGAGACAUUUAAAAUUCUUUCUUUGAUAAAAAAAUUUAACAAACUUAUAAUAAAGUAUUCUUGUGUAUCUUCUAAGCCAAAUUCCUUUCCGCCAUGUAUAUUAUUAUUAAAACAAUUUUUAACUUUAAAAAAAAUAAAAUAAGAAAAAAUAUUUUUACAAAAA
rnacentral:lncRNA from 1 species